rnacentral:rRNA from 1 species
GAUGAACGCUGGCGGCGUGCCUAAUACAUGCAAGUCGAGCGAACGGACGAGAAGCUUGCUUCUCUGAUGUUAGCGGCGGACGGGUGAGUAACACGUGGAUAACCUACCUAUAAGACUGGGAUAACUUCGGGAAACCGGAGCUAAUACCGGAUAAUAUUUUGAACCGCAUGGUUCAAAAGUGAAGGACGGUCUUGCUGUCACUUAUAGAUGGAUCCGCGAUGCAUUAGCUAGUUGUUAAGGUAACGGCUUACCAAGGCAACGAUGCAUAGCCGACCUGAGAGGGUGAUCGCCCACACUGGAACUGAGACGAGGUCCAGACUCCUACGGGAGGCAGCAGUAGGGAAUCCUCCGCAAUGGGCGAAAGCCUGACGGAGCAACGCAGCGUGAGUGAUGAAGGUCUUCGGAUCGUAAAACUCUGUUAUUAGGGAAGAACAUAUGUGUAAGUAACUGUGCACAUCUUGACGGUACCUAAUCAGAAAGCCACGGCUAACUACGUG